UGUGGGAGCGAGCCUGCUCGCGAUAGCUAUUGAUCAUCCGAUAUAAAUGUCGACUGGCAGACCGCUAUCGCGAGCAGGCUCGCUCCCACA
rnacentral:misc_RNA from 1 species